UAAAUGCAUGCAUCGAUAAAACGUUAAUUAAUGACUUAAAUACAAAAAGUGUAGUGACUUUAGAGAAACGCAAAGUGAUUUACAGGUGAGUCUGGAUUCCUCCUGUUACUUUAUUACAGUGUGUGUCGGUUGUUUUUGCAGAUGAGCUUAAAUAUGUGCUGUUGAGAGUCUGUUACUGAGCUGUCAUCUGCAGGAUUUCUACUUUAAUGUCCUUAAAACUAUCAGAAAGUUUUGUGGCAACUGUCAUCAGGUGUCAUGUUGUUGACAUGAAUCCAAAGGUGUCAUGCUGAACGUGAAACCCGCUUCCGCCGCCUAGUGGAGCGGAUGGCGAACUGCGCCGUUUGAAACGCCAAACGGGAACAGUGCGAGUCGUUGAUGAGAUAAUACGCAUUUUUAGUCAUAUAUAUUAAAGCAAAUCCAUGAUUUUGUGAGGAUCUGGACUAGCAGAUAAAUUUAGAAUCUACUAGUUAAUUGCCUCAGAUCAGCUCUCAGCUGGAAGGGCUUGAGUUGAGACUCUGGCUGCUCAUUUGAGUCAUUGAGCAGAAGAUUAACAUCCAGUCACAUGACCAUGGAGAUACUGUAGCUCUUCAAGUCUUCUGAAACCCAGAUCUGGGAUUCUCAGACUCAACUCUUCAACAGUCGAUGCCCUCGACUUCCUGGCCUUUGGUUUUUCAUGACACUUUAAUAGUUGGUGUUGUGUGAAGCUCUGAUGUUUUUGCUGCUUCAUGGCACAUUUAUGAGCUUAAUGUUCCUGUUAUUAUGACCUGUAUGAUGGGUCUAACAUGCAGUUAAACACAUGCUUUCUAAAUAUGUUACAGCCCACCCCACUAGUUUAUACAUUUCAGUUUAUCAUGGUGCACAGUUUGCUCAUGUUAUUUAUUUACUUAUAUUUGAAUAUUUUUGUUAUUUUGUAUCUGGGAUUCUCUAACUCUGUUUUCAGACAAACCGGUGAGAUGAAAGACUCGCAGCCAUUUCAAGUAAUUAUUACUCUCCUCCAGUACCACAAAUUUAAAGCUCUUUCUGUAUAAUGUAAUAAAAGUUGUUUAAAUUGCAUUGGGUUUUUUGGGGGGAGAGGGAACCCAUGAGGUCUUCCUGUGCCACUGACUCUGGUGAGUUGAGAUGGGUUUUAUUGUAAACUGUUUUAUAUGAUGAUAACUCUUAGCAAUCUGUAGUGAGACCACAGAAAUGUUUAAUCUUAUAUAUAUUUUAAAGUAAAUCUUUGAUUUUGUCUGGAUGUGGAAGGGUAAAACAGAUAAAAUGUCUGAUUUGUUGAACUAAAAGUCAUAUGGCUGAAAUACAAACAGAAAUAAAGGAACAAAAGAUAUUA